rnacentral:rRNA from 1 species
UACGUAGGGAGCAAGCGUUGUUCGGAUUUACUGGGCGUAAAGGGCGCGUAGGCGGCUUGUCAAGUCGAUUGUGAAAUCUCCGGGCUUAACUCGGAACGGCCAAUCGAUACUGACGUGCUAGAGUGCAGAAAGGGCAAUCGGAAUUCUUGGUGUAGCGGUGAAAUGCGUAGAUAUCAAGAGGAACACCUGAGGCGAAGGCGGGUUGCUAGGCUGACACUGACGCUGAGUGCGCGAAAGCCAGGGGAGCAAACGGG